rnacentral:rRNA from 1 species
CAUUUAGUGGGGGACAACAUUCCGAAAGGAAUGCUAAUACCGCAUACGUCCUACGGGAGAAAGCAGGGGAUCUUCGGACCUUGCGCUAAAUGAUGAGCCUAAGUCGGAUUAGCUAGUUGGUGGGGUAAAGGCCUACCAAGGCGACGAUCUGUAGCGGGUCUGAGAGGAUGAUCCGCCACACUGGGACUGAGACACGGCCCAGACUCCUACGGGAGGCAGCAGUGGGGAAUAUUGGACAAUGGGCGGAAGCCUGAUCCAGCCAUGCCGCGUGUGUGAAGAAGGCCUUAUGGUUGUAAAGCACUUUAAGCGAGGAGGAGGCUACUUAGAUUAAUACUCUAGGAUAGUGGACGUUACUCGCAGAAUAACUACCGGCUAANUCUGUGCCAGCAGCCGCGGUAAU